CAGCACGCUUCACUUUCACCAUGUACACAGUGAUCUGAUCUCAGCUUGUUUGCUCUGAUGAUGUUGAUAUCUGAAGUGAAUUGCGAUCAGUGUUCAUGUUGAGAAGAAAGUUGGCUAGAAGUGAGGAUGUAACCCAAGUGCAGUAUUUUUCAACAAAGGCAAUCUGUGGCAAAAGAAGCAAACUGAGGAGAUAGCAUUAUCUAAAUGAUAUGAGGAAAAGCAGUGGGACAUCCAAGUGAGCCACAU